rnacentral:rRNA from 1 species
UGGGGAAUUUUGGACAAUGGGCGCAAGCCUGAUCCAGCCAUGCCGCGUGCGGGAAGAAGGCCUUCGGGUUGUAAAACCGCUUUUGUCAGGGAAGAAAUCUUCUGAGUUAAUACCUCGGGAGGGUGACGGUACCUGAAGAAUAAGCACCGGCUAACUACGUGCCAGCAGCCGCGGUAAUACGUAGGGUGCAAGCGUUAAUCGGAAUUACUGGGCGUAAAGCGUGCGCAGGCGGUUUUGUAAGACAGAGGUGAAAUCCCCGGGCUCAACCUGGGAACUGCCUUUGUGACUGCAAGGCUUGAGUGCGGCAGAGGGGGGAUGGAAUUCCGCGUGUAGCAGUGAAAUGCGUAGAUAUGCGGAGGAACACCGAUGGCGAAGGCAAUCCCCUGGGCCUGCACUGACGCUCAUGCACGAAAGCGUGGGGAGCAAACAGGAUUAGAUACCCUGGUAGUCCACGCCCUAAACGAUGUCAACUGGUUGUUGGGAAGGUUCCUUCUCAGUAACGUAGCUAACGCNUGAAGUUGACCGCCUGGGGAGUACGGCCGCAAGGUUGAAAC